rnacentral:lncRNA from 1 species
GCCUUAUCACCCAUCACCUCAGACAUCUAUUUCUCCAGAACCCCAGCCCUGGCCAACAUUACAGCCUUGAGGAGAAAGCUUCCAUCCUUUCUACCUUCUAAUUUUCCUUCUUAGUCCCCACCACAGUCGCUCCCCCACCACUCCUGCCUUGAUUUUGCCCCCUCUUCUACUGGGGAUUGAACCUAGGAACACUGUACCACUGAGCUUCAUCCCAAGCCCUUUCUUAUUUUGAGACAGGGUCUCACUAAGUUGGCCUCAAACUUGUGAUCUUCUUCCAUCAGCCUCCUGAGUCACUGGGAUUAUAGAUGUACACCACUGUGCCUGGUGCCCCUGGGGAACGUAAAACCCACAAGACUCAUCACAACACUGCCCAGAGCCUUUCCCUGGCUCAUCAGUGAAACAGGACAAAGCCCACAUGUCUUAGUCAGAUCCACCCUGGGUCCAAUGAGGGCUAUAAGUGCUGAUAUAGGAUCAACUCCCUCCAGGGGCAAGCUCUUAUCAAGUGUUCCUUAGCCUUGCACUUGAGACACCCCUUAAAUGACCAGGCACACCUGAGCCACUAACACAAAGCUGGGCUUCAUCUGCACAUGCUGGGCUGUAUAUACGGAGAUCAACUCCAAGUGUUCUAGGCUGACAGGGAUCAUAGGACUCAUGUGGCAAGAGAUGACACAUU